GACGGAGGGCGCGGGCGUAUUCGUUUUGAUUGGGUGUAAAGGGUAUGUAGGCGGCUACUAAAAAUAUUUGGCAAAAGAGCGGAGCAUUACUAUGCAGAGUCACUUCUAAUAGGUAGCUUGUGUUGAGGAUAGGUGGGUAUAAUUCCCCGUGUAAGGGUAAAAUCUUACCAUACGGGGACGAAUGCCAGCGGGCGAAGGCGUCUCUCUCGUCUCAACUGACGCUCAGGUACGGAAGCUUAGGGAGUAAACGGG
rnacentral:rRNA from 1 species